UCUCCAUAUUAUAAUUUAAAUAUUACAAAUCAUCAUAAUAAAGCACCGCUAACCUUUCAUGUUCCUUCCAGUUUUUUUUUAUACCUACAUACUCUUUUAAAAUGUAUAUUUAUUUGACCUAGUGUAUACUAAAAUCUUAUGUUUAAUGAUAUAUUAGCAAAUAAAAUCAAAAUGCGCGAGCUUAAAGAAUAUCCACUGAAUGCGUUUGUUCUUCGUUAUUUGCCUAACAAUGAUAAAGAAUACUUAAGAACAACAUCAGCAUUUUGUAAACACUACAGCAUUAAGUCCUUCCUUUAAAGAUUGAUGAAAAAAUAAACAAAAGUUGUGCAAAAAAGAACCUUAUAAACAUAUAGCCUCAUAUGAAUAUUGUACGAAUUAAAUUAUAUUGACAUAUUACACUAAUAAAUAAAUUAUAUUAUUAUAUAACUUAACUACAUAAGAAUGAUCUAAAUGCAUUUAUAAUAAUACUAAAUAUAAAAUAGAGAAUAUAAUGUGCUAUGAAUUUGUAAA
rnacentral:lncRNA from 1 species